CAUGGGAGCAGUUUCCCCCAUGCUGCUCUCAUGAUAGCGAGUGAGUCCUCAUAAGAUCUGAUGGUUUUAUAAGUCUUUGACAGUUCUUUCACACACGCUUUCUCUCACCUACCGAUAUGUAAGAGGUGCCUACUUCCCCUUCCAUCAUGACCCAAGACCAGACUUUGCCCUUCCUCCUCUCAGCCUACUCAACGUGAAUAUAAUGAGGAUGAAGACCUUUGUAAUGACCUUUUCCCACAUAAUGAAUAGCCAUUGGGAGACACACUUCUGAACACCACCACUGGAAAAUCACACAUGCUGAAAUGGGAGAGUUCCCUGACCCCCUUGCAGGAUAUGUGACAGGAGUGUGGCUCAUCUGUUCAGCUGGAGUGCAUACUCAAACCCCUUAUGAGACAAGGAGUAUGCAGACAGAAGGUGCAGGAACUGGGAAGCAAAAUAUAAACUAGUUAAUUUGAUCUCCAAGAGUUAAGCGGUUUUAAUAUUACUGACAGUAAUAUCAGCAGUGGUGUUGGAACCCCAUGAUCUCAUGAAUCAUAGAUAGCAACUGCUUACUGGACAUUGAAGCUUUAUGGCCAGCUGCCAAAAAAAUAAAUGCACCUUAAUUUUUAAAUUGAAUUAUAAAGCCAAAAAUAUCCUAUUGCUCUAUUCCUCUUAUUUUGGUGUUUACAUGUGACUUUAUAAUUUCCUUCACUUGAAAGAUUUUAACUUUAAAGGAAACUUUACUCUGAACGUUUAGGACAAUUCAUAGAUAAUCAAAUUGAUUAUCAUGUUUUCAAUGUUAAAUAUUACUUCAUAUGUCUUUUUACAACCUUCAGAAUAAGAAAGCCAGCUAUGAAAUACCAAGUCUUGACUAGUAGUGCCACCUAGCAUCACAAAGAAAAAGUUGUUCAACUACUUUGCAAAGCAUUGGAAAUUUAUCAAAUCAUCUAAUAUACUAUCUCCUUGAUCCUUAAUCCAGAGGAAAAUAAGCAGACAUGAUCAAUUAGAAGAAAUGUACACAAAACCUAUGUAAUUUUAGAGAUAGUAUACUACAUAUUAUGAAUGUUUGUGUUUUAGUAAGAUGUAGUUAUGAGAUGUAGCAGUAAGAUAUAAUUUCUGGUUUGCUGACUGAUAUGCUACCGGUUUUUCCUACAAUUUAAGAAAACAUAUUGGGAUUCAAAUGAAUAAAAAUAAUGUUUGUGUACUGAAAUAUUGGCUAUGACCUAAUUUAUAGAAUAAAAAGUAAGUCAUUCACAACUAUCAGUAUUUUGAAUAAUGUGGCAACCAACAACUGAUUGAGAUUUGUUAGUGUUUUGAGUAAUGAAUUUAGAAACUUUGGAAUAUAAUAUAAUGCUAACAAAGAUAUCACAGGCUCAAUCCUGGAUGGAACUGAGGACAGCUAUUCCAACCAUCUCAGUUAAGAUGCUUCUUAUUGGCGAUAAGUGAAUAAUAAGAGAGUAGAUGGCUCAUACCAGACCUAUUUCUCUCACAAUUCAAAUAGACUUAGCUGUGAGAUAGGGCAAGUCCUCAAAUAACACCAUUUCAUUCAAAGUCAUUUUAUGAUCACUUUGAUGAGAAGAAAAUCACUAAUUCUUGGUCAUGGCCACUGUCUGUGUGGAGUCUACAUGUUCUCUGCAUGUGUACAUGGGUUUUCUCUGGGUAGUUUGGUUUCCUUCCACAUCCCAAGGAAGUUCACAUGAGGUUCACUGGUGUGUCUAAAUGGUUCCAAUGUGAGUGAGUGUUGGGGUGUGUGUGGGUGCCCCCUGCAGUGAGAUAG
rnacentral:lncRNA from 1 species